rnacentral:rRNA from 1 species
AGACGUCUACAUUAGACUACCCCCGUAGUCCCAGCCGUAAACUAUGCUCGCUAGGUGUCAGGCAUGGCGCGACCGUGUCUGGUGCCGCAGGGAAGCCGUGAAGCGAGCCACCUGGGAGGUACGGCCGCAAGGCUGAAACUUAAAGGAAUUGGCGGGGGAGCACAACAACGGGUGGAGCCUGCGGUUUAAUUGGACUCAACGCCGGACAACUCACCGGGGACGACAGCAAUAUGUAGGCCAGGCUGAAGACCUUGCCUGAAUCGCUG